AAGGAGUCUAACGCGCGCGCGAGCGAGAGGGCGAGAGGCCCAUCCGCGCAACGAAAGCGAAUGGCGGGACGCUCUCCCGCAGGGGGGCGGCGCCGCCGGCCGGACGUCCUCGAGGCGGACCGAGCCGGAGCGCUCGCGUCGGGACCCGAAAGGUGGUGAUCUAUCCGUGCGCGCGGCGAAGCCGGGGGAAACCCCGGUGGAGGCCCGUCGACGGUACUGACGUGCAAAUCGUUCGUCCGACGUGCGAAUAGGGGCGAAAAGACCAAUCGAACCUCCUAGUAGCUGGUUUCCGCCGAAAAUUUUCCCUCAGGAUAGCGGCCAUCGCGGAAACGUUUUGACCGGUAGAGCGAACGACUAGAGGUACCGGGGCCGUAACGGCCUCGACCUAUUCUCGAACUCCGAACGGGCAAGGAGCCGGGGUCGCCCGAUCGGACCCCGGACGUGAAGUCGACGAUGGUCGGUGGGCGUGGUUUUGGUUAAGGCAGAAACGGGCGGAUUCGGGAUGAACCGGAAGCGGGGAGG
rnacentral:rRNA from 1 species